AUGCCGAUUCAUACCCCUUCCCGUAACAAAUGGAGCGCCAAGCGUAUUGUACUCGUUGCUAUGUUAGGAACCCUUGUCGCCGUCGCCGUGGCGGCCGUAGUCUCCAUGAGCCUCUCACCCCCACACAUCUACUUCUCCGUUGAAGACGCGACGAUCCAGCCCGCGCCGUCCAACGGGCAAAACCUGUAUGCCUUCUACAACUUCACCCUUGUGGCCAACAACACCAGCCGGCGCUCGUCCGUGCACUACAGCGCCCUGAGUGCCGAGAUAUGGCAGAACGUGACGCUGUGGUUUCCGGCCGAGGUCGACACGCCGGCGGUGGUGGGCAAGCAGCAGCCGCCGGGGGGCCUCACCAGGGUCCGCGGCUGGGCCGAGUUCUACGAGUACGACCGAGCCACCAAGCCCAGCGACAUCGUCGUCGGUGACUGGCCCAACUCCACGGUGGUGGUGGUGGCCAAGGUGUGGUUCAAGUUCAGCCUCGCCCGCACCAGGCCCUACAACGUCAGGGUCACCUGCGCGCCCGUCAACUUCCGCGAUAAGACCACAUACACCGCCUGCAUAGGGGGAUACCACUCGAUUCUGGAAAGGCAUAUUCAGAUAACAGCGCCUCCGACCUCAGGCCGCUUCGACCCUGCUGCAGCAACUGAUAACGUUUCCAGUCCAAGAGUAUUGCCCAACGGCAGCGACUCCGAAGCCCAGUUCCCGUCGUCAGAGGUGAUUUCGUCCUGUGUAGUUACAAUCCUCAUGAUACAGAAUUGCACGGAGAAGCAGUAUCACCCCACGGAGGUGGCGCUCAUCCAAGACUCGGCGAUGCCGCAGCUGCAACCGUGCAGCUCGCAGGACGUGCCCAUCUUUAGGGAGAUCCAGAUGGAAAAUGGAAACUUCACCAUGGUAUGUGGCAUGUAA
rnacentral:rRNA from 1 species